rnacentral:rRNA from 1 species
AUUGCCCCAGUAACGGCGAGUGAAGCGGCAAGAGCUCAAAUUUGAAAUCUGGCCUCCCUUGGGGGGUCCGAGUUGUAAUUUGUAGAGGAUGCUUCGGGUGUGGCCGCCGUCUAAGUUCCUUGGAACAGGACGUCGUAGAGGGUGAGAAUCCCGUCUUGGGCGGCCGGUCCGCGCCCGUGUGAAGCUCCUUCGACGAGUCGAGUUGUUUGGGAAUGCAGCUCUAAGCGGGUGGUAAAUUUCAUCUAAAGCUAAAUACUGGCCGGAGACCGAUAGCGCACAAGUAGAGUGAUCGAAAGGUUAAAAGCACCUUGAAAAGGGAGUUAAACAGCACGUGAAAUUGUUGAAAGGGAAGCGCUUGCGGCCAGACUCGAGGGGCGGGGUUCAGCGGGUGCGCGUCACCCGUGCACUCCCCGUCCCCCCGGGCCAGCAUCAGUUUCGACGGCCGGUCAAAGGCCCCCGGAAUGUGUCGUCUCUAGGGACGUCUUAUAGCCGGGGGUGCAAUGCGGCCCGCCGGGACUGAGGAACGCGCUCCGGCUCGGAUGCUG